AGUAUUGGGAAGAAUAGAGAUAACGAUAUGCCUCUUUCUGCGUCAUCCUAGCCGGCAACCUGUUCGAAAAACUCAUGCCGCUGAAGUCACACGGCCCUGAGAAAUUGCGCAUGGCACGCAUGUUGACGAUUGCAUUGCACACGCGACGCGUUGCGCGUUGCGCUUGUCAAGCCGCUCGGAACCAAGCCCCCGGAUCUGGUGGGGAACGAUCGAUAAAUUCGAAGCCACGACGUUCUACCAGCGAGUAAGCAUUCCGCUGUAUUAUCUGGAAGUUCAAGUCACGACUGUAAAGCUACAAGCCAAAGCCGACCAAAAUGCCGGGACCAUGUGAGAAAUGCAAGGACAAAUGCCAGGAUUGUAAGUGCGGUGACAAUUGCUCGUGCUGCGAUUCCGGAUGCAAAGAUCAAUGUGGCUGCAAGACACAAGGUGGAAAGUGUACGUGCAAGUCUUGCACCUGUUAACUAAUAAUCAUGUCAAGGAUAAUCCAUGUUGGAGGUGAUAAUAAAUCCUUAAUGCGCUUGAAUAAAUCCAACAUGUGCGCAAUAUUCGAAAUAUAUUACUAUCAAUGUAAAAUUAUUACAUUAUUAUCAAUGUAAAAUUUUAUGCUUAGUGAAAAUUAGAGAUGCGACUCAAAUUCUUCGCUUUUUUUGUUAGAGAGAUAAACAAUGAAUGAAUUAAUAAAAUUCACUU